GCUGGCGGGGAGGUGGGCCCAGGGGCCCUCUUUGCCCUGCCUUGGCCCCAGCACUACUGCGCAAAGCGACCAGCCUCCUUGGGGGCGUUUCCCGCGCGCCUAAGGCGGGCAAGCCCCUGGGCGCCCCAAGAGGAACGAGCCUUCGUCCAGGAGCCCAGGGAUGGGCUGGGAACAAGAAAGGCUGGGCCUGAAGAUGGAUUGGCUAGAAGGCAACAGCCGAAGUACAAGGCAAACGCUGUUAGAGGCCAGAUGCUAAGAGGGUCAUUAAUUCUGCCUGAGGAUACGGAGGAAGGCUUCUAAGUGAGGUCGCCACGGGUGACCUUUCAGCUCUUCAGAAGGCGCCCAUAUAAUAACCGGAGGAGGCGAGGGGGAGGGUGUUCUUGCGGAGGGAACUGUGAGAGCAAAAGCAGGAAGGAGGAGAACACCUGGCUUAUUGCUGAGCUCUGGGACUAGGCCUGAAUCAAAGAAUUUGGGAAGGGGUGUACUGUGAGAUGCGGUGGAGAAUGUGGAUUGAUGCCUUCUUGGGACCACUUGGAUGAAAGCAAACUUAUUUACCACGGCUUAUUAGGUCCAAGGUGCCUUUCCAGUGUUUACGGGAAAUUUAUAUAGGUAUUAAAUUAGAGACGCGGGUCAGCAUAUUUUUUUCAAUGACUUAAUCGUUUCUGAUGAGAACCAAACGUUUGACCAUCCCUUAUCCAUUAUUAGCAUAUCUUCAAGCUUCAAGCUUGAGGCAUAUGACCACUUUAAAGAUUACAUAGUAACUUCAAGUUAAGUGGUUGGGAUGGAACUUGAAAGUUUUCUAUUUUUUUAUAUUUAAAACAAUACCAUCCGAGUACCAGGUAUGAAGAGGAGAUGGUGAGCAGAUAAAAACAAGAGAAAGGGGAUGCCGGGUCCAACUGCAGCAUUCCUAGUUUGUGGAUGCAGCCUCUCUGCAACAAGAGCUCCUUACCUGUGACCCAACUAUACAUCCCUCCUGCCCCUGCUAUAGAAUACUCUGAUUCCUAAGACAUCUUUCCUUCCUUGUCCAUCAAUGUUCAUCAUCAGGAGGAGAAAUGUGGUCAAAUACUGAAACAUGAGACAUGUUCAAGCAUGUUGCUGCAAAGGUAGAUGGCCAGAACACAAUCUGUGCCUGCAUCUCCCCACAGAAAGCAAGAAUGCCUUCUACUACUCAUGUUAGGAGAGACAGAAGGGAAAGCCCAGCAGAGGUGCAGCAGAAGUUUGGGGAAGCUGAGCAAAGACACAUCUCACCAUUCCAAGUUCCAUGAUGGCCUUGAAGAGGGAGGGAACAAAGGGAAGAGGAAAAUAGGAAACAGUAACUAUUGAAGCAGAAGACCUCCCAUAACAUUGAAUUAGACCAAGGAACCCAACUUACAGCAAAAAAAGGUGUGAGAGUGAAACUAUGACACUGUUAUCUACUGGUCCUAUCACUUAUUGCAACGCUCCGAAACCUCUGGCCUGAUGGAGCAUUGGAAUGCCUUGCUGAAGGCACAGCUGAAGUACUAGCUCAGAUGAAAUGCUCUGACUGGCAUCUUCCAGGAUACAUUAAACCUACUGAAUAAAAGAUCUUCAUAUGGUGCUGUGUACCCAACAGGAAGAAAUAGCGGCAUGACCAAGAACCUCAGGCACUAAAGGAAAAAUCCUGUAACUCCCUGAGACCAGUAGCAGCAGAGGGCUAUAGCCUUGUCCUACAAGCCUUCCUCUUCUAAGUUUUCCCAGAGGGAGAGGCUUAUCAGAAACCCGGAGAAGCUACUCCUCAACAAAAAUGAUGAAGUAACAAAGGGAAUGUAACCAGAGCGUAACAGUGAAUGAACAUGGAGAUGAGCCACUGAGAUUUCCUUUUGCAAGACUUCUUGUCCAGGGAUCCCUGGGUGGCGCAGCGGUUUAGCGCCUGCCUUUGGCCCAGGGCGCGAUCCUGGAGACCCCGGAUCGAAUCCCACGUCGGGCUCCCGGUGCAUGGAGCCUGCUUCUG